GUCACAUUUUUGGUUUCAGCCCUGAUUCAGCCACCUAGCACCUUGUGACCUUGCAUGAGGGAUCAGGAGACCUCCUGACUCCUCAGGCUGGGAGACUGCAUGUGAGCCCUGUGAAGUAAGAAGUAUUCCAUUUUUCAGCUCAAAGCAUUCUUGGGGCCUCAUGGAAGAAAGAACAUUGACAUAGAAAACUGUGGAAUCAGAACCAAUUAUUCUGUCAUGAAAUAGCCUUUUCUCCGAAAAAAGCAGAGUCUCAGCAGAGAGAGAAAGUAUAAAAUGGCGCGCUGUUAGGGCUGUUUAACAUUUUUCUUCUAUUUAGUCAUACCCUUUAACAAAAGCUGGCAUUCUGGGCCUCUGUCCCACCCAGGUCAAGUACUGAGGGAUCUGGGAAUCCAGCUCUGUUACAGCUCUACGUCGACGGUCAGAGUGAUGUUCCUUAAUGAGAUCAACUUGGCUAAUAAAUGACAAUUUUGUUGCUAGUGCUUCACAAAGUACUUUUUGAAGAUCAUUGCAUAUAAUUCCUGGUACCAUUUAGCUACAGUGAGAGGGGAGACAUGUGGAUAGGGGAUCAGUUUAAAAGAAGAGAUCUGAAGAAAGGUAGGGGUGUAUGUUGACUCCUACAAGUUAUUAUCAUGCUUGUUCCCCGGGAUCUUAAUUACUUCUUCCAGGAGUGCCUUAUUUAUUUCAGAGAGAAUAAUAAGGCUUCCUUCCAAGUCAUUAGGCUCGGAAUCUAAAUUUUAGGGCUUCAAUUUCUCUCUUUUAUCUUUGGCAUUUAGAACAGAGCUUGGAUUAAAGAGGAAAAAGCGAUAAUGGUGGCAAGUCUGAGUUAGUGGGUGCGAAGCUGCUUAGAUUUUAAGAGCAGGGACUUGGGGACCAGGCUCCGUUCAACUUUGCUUUCCUCCCUUACUAUGUAUGAGAUCUCACUUAACCUUUAUGGGCCUCAAUACUCUCAUCAGUAAAAUGGGAUUAAAAUUACCAAGAGAUACUCUUCUCAUGUAUGUACUACUUCUCAGAGCAUAGCAUAAAGACAAAAAUAAAGUCAUGGCCCUUAUGUGAGUUAUUAUUUUUUUUACCAUGUUUGUAAGAAGUGGUUUUCAGAUAGACUAUAAGAGUCAGAAAUACUCGUCCCAUGAGAAAGGGGGAUACCUGUUUCCUCUCAUGUAACUAGUAAACUCUUCCUUUAUUGAGCACCGUGUUAACUUCGCAAAUUAAUCCAGCCUGUUAAUUCAGUGACAAUAUCAGCGUAAUUUAAUUUAAUUUAGUCUUUCUGCAAAUGUUAAAGCUAAUGUAAUUCCAUAAGUUUAUCUGUACGUUAUCUACUUUAACAUACAAUAGUUGAGAGAUAAGGGUCAAUAGUUUUAAUAGUUAAAAUUACAUUUUAGAUGCCUUAAUUUCUUCUGCCAAUAACUUGCGUACAAAGUCAGUUGAAGCUUCACAGUAACAGACUGAAUCCAAACUGAAAAAUUAAUCAGUUGUUUGGAAUAACUGCCAAGAGUAUGUAUGUUGAUCUCUAAUAUAGAAAACAGAGGGCAUUAGCUUCAGUAAUCAAAUUAAAACUCGGUAACUAACCUAAGAGAUGAAAAAAGGAGCGUCUGAUGGACUAGCCAUGCUUUUCUCUGAAGUAAGUGUAAGUAAAGGAUAAAUCCUUAUAAAAUCUGAUUUCCCUGAUUUUAUCCAGGACUUUCUGCCACGUGGCCUACAAGAGUGCUUUCUUUGUUGAGAUUAUAAAGGCCAGUCAGUUUUCUCUUGCUUGUGUGCCUGUAGGCAAUUUUGUGAGAUGUCCUGUGAAGAAAAAUGGGUAACCUAUAUUGUGUGUCCAAAGACUAUUUUAGCUGCCCCUUAGAGUAUAACU